rnacentral:rRNA from 1 species
GAUGAACGCUGGCGGCGUGCUUAACACAUGCAAGUCGAACGAUGAAGCCCAGCUUGCUGGGUGGAUUAGUGGCGAACGGGUGAGUAACACGUGAGUAACCUGCCCUCAACUCUGGGAUAAGCCUGGGAAACUGGGUCUAAUACCGGAUAGGAGCGCCUACCGCAUGGUGGGUGUUGGAAAGAUUUAUCGGUUUUGGAUGGACUCGCGGCCUAUCAGCUUGUUGGUGAGGUAAUGGCUCACCAAGGCGACGACGGGUAGCCGGCCUGAGAGGGUGACCGGCCACACUGGGACUGAGACACGGCCCAGACUCCUACGGGAGGCAGCAGUGGGGAAUAUUGCACAAUGGGCGAAAGCCUGAUGCAGCGACGCCGCGUGAGGGAUGACGGCCUUCGGGUUGUAAACCUCUUUCAGUAGGGAAGAAGCGAAAGUGACGGUACCUGCAGAAGAAGCACCGGCUAACUACGUG